rnacentral:misc_RNA from 1 species
GAUGAAGAACGCAGUGAAAUGCGAUAAGUAAUGUGAAUUGCAGAAUUCAGUGAAUCAUCGAAUCUUUGAACGCACAUUGCGCCCGCUAGUAUUCUGGCGGGCAUGCCUGUCCGAGCGUCAUUUCAACCCUCAAGCCCCCGGGCUUGGUGUUGGGGUCCCACGGCCGCCGUGGGCCCUGAAAGGAAGUGGCGGGCUCGCUACAACUCCGAGCGUAGUAAUUCAUUAUCUCGCUUAGGGCGUUGGGCGGCGCUCCUGCCGUUAAAGAACCAUCUUUAACUCAAGGUUGACCUCGGAUCAGGUAGGAAUACCCGCUGAACUUAAGCAUAUCAAUAAGCGGAGGA